rnacentral:miRNA from 1 species
GUUCACCUUUUGCGCCGUUAA